CUGUCAUACCACAAUAAGUACUUGUAUAUGGAAGCAAAAACAACCCCUACAUAAUGACGUCAUCAAAAAGAGUUUAUUGAUAAUUUUACCAAUUAGAAGGCCAAUAUUUGGAUUAUUUGCACUAAAACGUAAUAAUAUGCAUAUAAUUGACCUUUGGAACACAUUUUACUUACCAUGGUACAUGUAAUUCUCGAGAUUGGAAAAAAAAUAUUUGACGUCAUGUGGACCCCACAUCACUUUGUUAUUCACGCUGGAGACAAAGCUGACGACUGUUUAAGCUUUUCGGGAUAUGUUUGUGGUGGGUGCGCGUCUUAUGAGUGAUUACAAGGGAAGAAUGGUUUCCUGAAGAUAGUUCAAGACGUGAGCGGCCUGCUCAGAGUCGGCGGACGACUUCGGCACGCCCAGCGCAACUAUGAGACGAAGCAUAAAGUGAUGUUAUCUGCCCGUGGAGUUAUCAUCCGGCUGAUCGUCACCGACCCACACAGGAAGCUCGCCCACGCCAGGACGGAGCACGUCCUGACUCACCUGAGCUAACAAUACUGGAUCAGGUCUCUCUGCGGCAGAGAGACCGUGAAACGAUUCACACGCGCUUGCACACCCUGUCGAAAAAGGUCAGCACAGCCGCUGCCACCACGAAUAGGUGACCUGCCAGCCUUCCGCAUGAGCGGGCCGGCGCCAGUGUUCGCGCGAGUGGGCGUGGACUUCUUUUGACCGAUGACCGUCAGGAAACGCCGAAAACGAGAGAAACGGUACGGGUGGGUGUCACUUCACAUGCCUGUUCACCCGUGCGGUCCACAUCGAGCUCGCCCACUCAUUGGACACUGACUUAUUCAUUAUGGCCAUGAGACACAUGAUGGCCAGACGAGGCAAGGUCAGACUCGUGUGCUCUGGCAAGGUACAAUUCUGCGCGCCGACGAGCGUGAGCUGCGGCAGGCGCUCCAGCACUGGCACCAGUCCAAGCUCGCCGACACUCUCUCACAAGAAGGGUUUGAUCGACUCUUCAAACCACCGGCCGCGCGGCACUUCGGCGGCGUGUUCGAGCACGCGGUCAGCCAAACGCGCCCUGGCAGCUAUGCUUGGUGACAGGGUCGUUGACGACGAGACGCUGCAGACGGUGGUGACUGAUGUCGAAGCGCUCCUGAACGGACGUCCGCUGACGCACGUCAGCACCGAUCCUGACGUCUACCAACCUCUGACACCGAACUACUUCCUCAUCGGACGAGCCUCCCCUCAGCUGUCGCCCGGUGUGUUCACCGACAGUGACAUGUGCAGCCGACGGCGCUUGAAGCACACGCAGGUGCUGCUGGUUCAUUUCCGGCAACGCUGGCGGCGGGAAUAUCUGCCCACGCUGACCGUGCGCUCCAAGUGGUUCAGGGACAAGACCGAGGUCAAGGUCGGAGAGCUAGUACUGCUGUCCGAAGAAAACGUAGGCCGCGUGGACAUUGGCUGGUGGGACGAGUGGAGCGUGUGAUACCCGGCGCAGACGGCUGUAUUAUUCUCGUUGUGGACGUGGCGACUGCCACCGGUCAAUGUAGGCGGCCUGUCACCCGCCUCUGCCGACUGGAGUGCGACGGUAAUGGCUGUUGGAGCCAGGCUGAAGUGUCUUGUGCGGUGUUACAUAGAUUUGUUUAUGGUAGUGCUUCCAAGCUAGCGGUAGUCUCUGUUCGCGUACGUUCACUUCGGUAAUUAAUGUGAGUUCUGUGUUGUACGCUUUGCGAUGGCUGUUGAUGUGCCGACCAUGUGACAGCACCUUCACUGCCGCCAGUGCCUCUCAAGCGUUUGUACUUAACGAUAUGUGCCAGUGUGUGUGUCAACGUCCAGCUGCUAAGACCGCUAAGACUGCGCCGUCACUGGUUUUAUGAAUGGUCGCGUGAUUGUUGUCGGGAAUGAUCUCCGCCUCGGUGAGACACUAAUGUGUAUUGUACGCGAGUGUGUGUUUGUAAAGUGUGCGCGGAUGCGAAUAGUUUAAGCGUGUCAGUGUAGUUUGAAUGAUUGUUCGUUUGUGGUUUGAUUUUCCGCGGAUGAUUGCGAAAAAACGGGCCGGCUAUGCAAGCGAGCAAAGACGGCCGGCGCUUGGCACGGUCGGUCCGUCGCACCAGCGCACAUGUGUGUGUCAUGUUACCCCUGUCCUGGUUCUUAUAUAUAGACAAUAUAGACUUUUAUGCACAAAUUUUUACAUUAUAUAGGUAUAGACUCUUUAUAGACUUUUACGACAGAGGGCCCACGUGUUGUGUACCGUGAGGGCUGAGACGGGACGGGGCCGGACAGUCUUCGACGCGACUCC